rnacentral:rRNA from 1 species
AUUGAACGCUGGCGGCAGGCCUAACACAUGCAAGUCGAACGGUAACAGGAAGAAGCUUGCUCCUUUGCUGACGAGUGGCGGACGGGUGAGUAAUGUCUGGGAAACUGCCUGAUGGAGGGGGAUAACUACUGGAAACGGUAGCUAAUACCGCAUAACGCCGCAAGACCAAAGAGGGGGACCUUCGGGCCUCUUGCCAUCGGAUGUGCCCAGAUGGGAUUAGCUAGUAGGUGGGGUAACGGCUCACCUAGGCGACGAUCCAUAGCUAGUCUGAGAGGAUGACCGGCGACACGGGAACUGAGACACGGUCCAGACGCCUACGGGAGGCAGCAGGAGGGAAGCUUCAGGAAUGGGCGAAAGCUUGACGGAGCAAGGGGGCGUGAGUGAUGAAGGUCUUCGGAUCGUAAAACUCUGUUAGGAGGGAAGAACAUAUGUGGAAGGAACUGUGCACACCUGGACGGUAACUAAUCAGAAAGCCACGGCUAAAUACGUG